ACCGCUGAAGUUCUUUGCUUGGGAGCACAUUAAAUGGCUGCCUCUUCAGAUAAUCAAAGCUUGAAUCAUGUAUUAAUAUCAGGAAGCCUGGAUUGCACGGUUCGAGUAUGGAAUUGGGAUAAUGGUUGUCUUCUUUGGAUAUUGCACCAUCACAUAGCUCCACUUAAGGAAAUUAUACUUCCACCACCGCAGACUGCUCGACCUUGGAAUGAUUGCUUUCUUUUUGUAGGCGAGGAUGGUUGUGUGGCUUUGGUCUCUAUCCAGACAUUGCGAGUGGAAAGAAUGUUUCCUGUGCAUCCAAGUUGUCCAUCAAUGGUUGUCUGGGGCAGUAGAAAAGGCUAUAUAGCUUAUCUUUGCAGAAAUACCUCAGAAUCCUCUGAUGUUGCUAGCAUUUUGUACCUUUGGGAUCUGAAGACAGCUUUGGAAAUCUUCAGCAGAAUUUUGUGCAAUGGGAUCUCUGACCAUAGUGUCUAUUGCUCAGCGAAUGAUCAGCUUAUCCUACUCUACCUCUGUAGCAAGAAGGUUCCUUGUAUGGCUGUAGUGGAGAACAUGUGCUAUUUAGAUGGUGAUGGUAAACGGUAUUACCCCUUUGUUAAAGGUUCUGGUGCUCAGGUCGUGAAGCAGUUUGGGAUACCAAAUCUCUUUGAUCUUCCAAUCAAACCAAUUUUAUCAGCAUUAGGAGUUUCCGAAAUGCCUGAAGUGGUUGCUGAUCCUCUCAAUGAAGUAGCCAAGACAUUUAAUAAUCUUGGUGUUUGUGUUGUUCAACAAUGUGCUAAAAUUGGCCAACAAGUGUCAACAGCUAUAACCUAUGAUAAAACUAUAAGAGCAAUCAGAGUGAAAGUUUCUGAUUCAGAUGAGGAAUUCUUACUUCACCCUGCAACAGUAAGAAGGAAUGAUCAGUCUGCUCAAACUGUGGUGAGUAUACCAUCUUGUAAGCGGUUAUCUUUGUUUUAGUUGAGAGUAUCUUUCAGCUUAAAUCAGGAUCUAAUUAUAGAACUGCAUAAAAAGCACAUAGUUUUAUAUUUAAAUUUAUUCACAAUGGGUGCCAAAAGAACAUUAUCCUGUAUAAAUCUUUAUUCUCUGUUACCUGAUUUUAAAAAGUUGAACUUUUUUUUAAAUGGGACUUUUUAUCACUAGGAUGGUGUUUGGCAAUCUGAAACAUUCCUAGUUUUGGUCAUUAGAUUCUUGGCGACAUUUGGGUAUUACUUAUCUGUUGCACAUUGGAUACACAAUAAUUUGAUUUUAUCCUGGCUUCACAACAGUAUUUCUUGUGUUCUUUCCUCUCAAGAUGUCAACAAAGUCUGCUUGUUGAGAACCUCAUAUAAGUUUUGUAAUGUUUUGUGAGCUAGUUUUGAUGUUUUUAUUUGAUACUCGGUUUAAGCAACUGCUUGAAUAUUUAAAUACGACAAGCAGCAAAGGCAGCAAAGCCCUCAAAACUUUCCAGGUUUUUAUAUCAUUAAUUAUUUCUUAUUAUUAAUUAUUUUUUCCAAUGUGAUCUUGAGUGCCAUGUUCCUUUUUAAAAAGUUAAAAAGAAAGUGUUUUUUAUUUUUCUGAUCUUUUUCAAAUUCUAAAAUCUGCAAAUCUCUGAAAAGAAGGCUGCCAAAACUAUUAUUUUGAUGAUUGAUGAGGAAGGAGUAGAGUCGUUGAUUGUAGAACUUCGUAAAGGAGCUGGAGAUGGCCAGGUGCAGAUCAUGUCCAAGCUGCACAAAAGUACAUCACAGGCUUGGAUGCAAGAAGACUAUCAAAAUUCUCUGAGAACAGGUACAUU